GGUGAGUAACGCGUAUCCAACACUGCCCACCACUUGGGGAUAACCUUGCAAAAGUAAGACUAAUACCCAAUGAUAUCUCUAGAAGACAUCUGAAAGAGAUUAAAGAUUUAUCGGUGAUGGAUGGGGAUGCGUCUGAUUAGCUUGUUGGCGGGGUAACGGCCCACCAAGGCUACGAUCAGUAGGGGUUCUGAGAGGAAGGUCCCCCACAUUGGAACUGAGACACGGUCCAAACUCCUACGGGAGGCAGCAGUGAGGAAUAUUGGUCAAUGGACGAGAGUCUGAACCAGCCAAGUAGCGUGCAGGAUGACGGCCCUAUGGGUUGUAAACUGCUUUUAUAAGGGAAUAAAGUGAGUCUCGUGAGACUUUUUGCAUGUACCUUAUGAAUAAGGACCGGCUAAUUCCGUGCCAGCAGCCGCGGUAAUACGGAAGGUCCGGGCGUUAUCCGGAUUUAUUGGGUUUAAAGGGAGCGUAGGCCGGAGAUUAAGCGUGUUGUGAAAUGUAGACGCUCAACGUCUGCACUGCAGCGCGAACUGGUUUCCUUGAGUACGCACAAAGUGGGCGGAAUUCGUGGUGUAGCGGUGAAAUGCUUAGAUAUCACGAAGAACUCCGAUUGCGAAGGCAGCUCACUGGAGCGCAACUGACGCUGAAGCUCGAAAGUGCGGGUAUCGAACAGGAUUAGAUACCCUGGUAGUCCGCACGGUAAACGAUGGAUGCCCGCUGUUGGUCUGAAUAGGUCAGCGGCCAAGCGAAAGCAUUAAGCAUCCCACCUGGGGAGUACGCCGGCAACGGUGAAACUCAAAGGAAUUGACGGGGGCCCGCACAAGCGGAGGAACAUGUGGUUUAAUUCGAUGAUACGCGAGGAACCUUACCCGGGCUUGAAUUGCAGAGGAAGGAUUUGGAGACAAUGACGCCCUUCGGGGUCUCUGUGAAGGUGCUGCAUGGUUGUCGUCAGCUCGUGCCGUGAGGUGUCGGCUUAAGUGCCAUAACGAGCGCAACCCCUCUCCUUAGUUGCCAUCAGGUCAAGCUGGGCACUCUGGGGACACUGCCACCGUAAGGUGUGAGGAAGGUGGGGAUGACGUCAAAUCAGCACGGCCCUUACGUCCGGGGCUACACACGUGUUACAAUGGCAGGUACAGAGAGAUGGUGUUCUGCAAAGCGCAUCAAAUUACUUAAAGCCUGUCUCAGUUCGGACUGGGGUCUGCAACCCGACCCCACGAAGC
rnacentral:rRNA from 1 species